UAUGUGUUAAUUUGCAAAAAUCUUAUAUGAUUAUUUAUUAAAAUCUUAAGCAUUUUGUAGACAUUGGUCAGAUCUCCCUAAAUGAAGAAGUUAUUACCUAGAUAGUCUGGUACACAUAGUCUAUUAUCUCAUUAGUUUUUGCUAUAGAAAUGUGAGGAACUGAACUGAUAGAGAUAUUGUGAUUUAUUAAGAAAACACAAUAAAAGAUGGUGAGAGGAUGCUAAUUUACAACAUGCCACCUCUGCUAUAUAGAAUUGUAGGACCAGAUUUUCAUCAUGAAAACUCUCUAAGAGUCUUGCUGUAUCACCCAAACUUAAAGUGCAGUGGUACAAUCUCGGCUCACUGCAACCUCCAGCUCCUGGGUUCCAGCGAUUCUCCUGCCUCAGCCUCUCAGGACAAGGUGACAACGGGUCUCCCUAUACAGGCAGUCAAAGCAAUUUGAGGAAAACACAUUGUAGCAAGAUGAUGAUGUUUUCCGUGAAAACAAUAAAGUGACUAAGAUCC